AUUCAGCUGAUGAGUCCCUAAUAGAACGAAUCGCGCAUCUUGAAU
rnacentral:hammerhead_ribozyme from 1 species